rnacentral:rRNA from 1 species
UACGUAGGAUGCGAGCGUUGUCCGGAAUUAUUGGGCGUAAAGAGCUCGUAGGCGGUUUGUCGCGUCGGCCGUGAAAUCUCCACGCUUAACGUGGAGCGUGCGGUCGAUACGGGCAGACUUGAGUUCGGUAGGGGAGACUGGAAUUCCUGGUGUAGCGGUGAAAUGCGCAGAUAUCAGGAGGAACACCGGUGGCGAAGGCGGGUCUCUGGGCCGAUACUGACGCUGAGGAGCGAAAGCGUGGGGAGCGAACAGG